CACACUGGACUGAGACACGGUCCAGACUCCUACGGGAGGCAGCAGUGGGGAAUANNNGCACAAUGGGCGCAAGCCUGAUGCAGCCAUGCCGCGUGUGUGAAGAAGGCCUUCGGGUUGUAAAGCACUUUCAGUCGUGAGGAAGGCGGUGUCGUUAAUAGCGGNNUCGUUUGACGUUAGCUACAGAAGAAGCACCGGCUAACUCCGUGCCAGCAGCCGCGGUAAUACGGAGGGUGCGAGCGUUAAUCGGAAUUACUGGGCGUAAAGCGCAUGCAGGUGGUUUGUUAAGUCAGAUGUGAAAGCCCGGGGCUCAACCUCGGAAUAGCAUUUGAAACUGGCAGACUAGAGUACUGUAGAGGGGGGUAGAAUUUCAGGUGUAGCGGUGAAAUGCGUAGAGAUCUGAAGGAAUACCGGUGGCGAAGGCGGCCCCCUGGACAGAUACUGACACUCAGAUGCGAAAGCGUGGGGAGCAAACAGGAUUAGAUACCCUGGUAGUCCACGCCGUAAACGAUGUCUACUUGGAGGUUGUGGCCUUGAGCCGUGGCUUUCGGAGCUAACGCGUUAAGUAGACCGCCUGGGGAGUACGGUCGCAAGAUUAAAACUCAAAUGAAUUGACGGGGGCCCGCACAAGCGGUGGAGCAUGUGGUUUAAUUCGAUGCAACGCGAAGAACCUUACCUACUCUUGACAUC
rnacentral:rRNA from 1 species